rnacentral:rRNA from 1 species
CCUACGGGAGGCAGCAGUGGGGAAUAUUGCACAAUGGGGGAAACCCUGAUGCAGCGACGCCGCGUGAGUGAAGAAGUAUUUCGGUAUGUAAAGCUCUAUCAGCAGGGAAGAAAAUGACGGUACCUGAUCAAGAAGCCCCGGCUAACUACGUGCCAGCAGCCGCGGUAAUACGUAGGGGGCAAGCGUUAUCCGGAUUUACUGGGUGUAAAGGGAGCGUAGGCGGCAGCACAAGUCUGGAGUGAAAUGCCGGGGCUUAACCCCGGAACUGCUUUUGAAACUGGGCAGCUAGAGUGCAGGAGAGGUAAGUGGAAUUCCUAGUGUAGCGGUGAAAUGCGUAGAUAUUAGGAAGAACACCGGUGGCGAAGGCAGCUUACUGGACUGUAACUGACGUUGAGGCUCGAAAGCGUGGGGAGCAAACAGGAUUAGAUACCCUAGUAGUC